GCGCGGGGCGGGGCAUUGGCGCUGGGCGGGGAGGAGCGGGGCGUUGAUGCGAGGCGGGACGGAGCGUUGGCGCUGGGCGGGGCGGCGACCGAGAAUCCUGGUUUUAAACAUUUUUUGCUGUGUCAUUUGCCAUUUCCUCCCCGCUAGUGGGCAGGCGGAGGCUCUUCGGAGUUGGAUCUUGACUUUGCCAUUUUCCAGUUCUGUAGUCUCGGACAAUAUGUUUAACUUCUCUAAGCCUCAGUUUACGAAUCUAAAAAUUGGUUUAUCUUUGUUGUGAGGAUUAAAGGAAAUGUGGAGUUUCAUCGCAGAUUCAUUCAACAGUGCUCAGAUUAAAUAGAGCAGAGUGGGGCCAGCCCCCAUUCCGAGCGAGUGUAAGAUGGGAGACUAUGUUCUCUUGGUCCCAGUUCUGAGCCCUUCGUUUGUAUCUUGUGACGCUGACAGCGAUUCUACUGUUUUAUGUCUUAAACUAGAUUGUAGUGUUUUAAGAUACUUCCUUUCUGUAUGACAUGAUCCAUCUGAAAGGCCAUCAAGCACUUUAGGCACUCAACCGAAGAAACAAUUCCCUUCCAUGCUAGCAUACAAGUCUAUCCCCAAAGUGGAAAAAAAAAAUACGGCCUCAAAAAAUCUGUACAUUCAAUCAAGAUUCAAAAAAUUUGUGAAGCGAGGUCAGCAGAUUCUCCUACAACUGCUAAAGUGACAACGAAGAUAUGUGGUUAAUGAAAAUGGCAGGCCGGGCGCGGUGGCUCACGCCUGGAAUCCCAGCACUUUGGGAGGCCGAGGUGGGUGGACCACCUGAGGUCAGGAGUUCGAGACCAUCCUGGCUAACACAGUGAAAACCCGUCUCUACUAAAAAUGCAAAAAUUAGCCGGGCGUGGUGACGGACGCCUGUAAUCCCAGCUACUCAGGAGGCUGAGGGAAGAGUAUCACUUGAACCCAGGAGGCGGAGGUUGCAGUGAGCCGAGAUUGCACCAUUGCACUCCAGCUUGGGCAACAAGAGCGAAACCCCGUCUCAAAAAAAAAGAAAAAAGAAAAUAGAAAGGCCACUAAACAUUACUGAAAGACAAAAACCAGAAAUAUGUGUCUGGGCCAGGUGCAGUGGCUCAGGCCUAUAAUCCCAGCCCUUUGGGAGGGCAAGACCAGAAGCUAAUCCUCUUGAGGCCAGGAGUUGUAGGCUGCAGUGAGAUAUGAUUGCACCACUGCACUCCAGCCUGAACAACAGAGCAAGACCCUGCCUCUAUAUAUUAAAAAGAAAGAAAACCAAAAAGAAAUAUGUGCCUUACAAUGGCAAGACGUGGCAAAAAAAGAGAAGAAAAAAACUCUUCAUCUCAAGUCAUAGUUCAAACCUCCUACUAGAGAAGUCAGCCUUUGGAUGGAAAGAUUUCAAAACCAGCCAAGGAUGGCAUAAUGAUUUUAGAAGCCCAUUUAAACCUCAAAAACACACAAACUAUUGGUGAGAUGUGUCUGUAGAGGAACAGACAGCACAACCCACUCAGAGCUAUUAGAAAGGUUUAUUGGCAUAGGCCAGGCACGGUGGCUCACGCCUGUAAUCCCAGCACUUUGGGAGGCCAAGGCAGGUGGAUCAUGAGGUCAGGAGUUCGAGACCAGCCUGGCCAACAUGGUGAAAUGCCGUCUCUACUAAUAAUACAAAAAUUAGCCGGGCAUGGUGAUGGGCACCUAUAACCCCGGCUACUCGGAGGCUGAGGCAGAAGAAUUGCUUGAACCCAGGAGGCAAAGGUUGCAGUGAGUCAAGAUCGUGCCACUGCACUCCAGCCUGGGCAACAGCGCAAGACUCCAUCUCAAAAAAGAAAAUAAAAUUACUGGUGAAAAGGCCAUCUUCCAGAAUACCAUGAGAGACAAGGUUUCCCUCUGUAACCCAGGCUGGAGUGCAGUGGAACUUCUGAGCUCAAGUAGUCUUCACAUCUCAGCCUUCCAAGUAGCUGUGACUAGAGCUUGUGACAGUCCAGCCCCUUCAGCCUGGAGUUCCACCUACCAGUCCCCACAUGUGCUGUCUCUCACCAAGGUUGCCAGUGACCUCCUACCAAAACAAUCUUUGGCUCCCCAUCACUGGCCUGUCCUAUGGGAAAACAUUUGCAUUCCUUAACUCAGCCUAGAAGGCCUCUGUGACUUGCUGUCUACUUAUCUGGCCCUUCUCAUGCUUCCUUUCUGGCUGUAGCAACCUUGAAGAUAUCGUACUUCCCCAAACCCACCUGCUGCUUCUUGCCUUUUUUCAUGCGGACUCCUCUGUCUGGAAUAUCUUCUACAUGCAGCAACCGUAACCCAACCUCCAUACUGCAGAGAAGUGGCUCGUCUCAGGCCAAUUCCUGGUCAUCCUUUUAGAUUCAGCCCAGGCUGGGCGCGGUAGCUCAUGCCGGUAACCCCAGCACUUUGGGAGGCCGAGGCGGGCAGAUCACGAGGUCAGGAGUUCGAGACCAGCCUGGGCAACAUAGUGAAACCCUGUCUCUACUAAAAAUACAAAAAUUAGCCAGGCAUGGUGGUGCACGCUUGUAGUCCCAGCUACUUGGGAGGCUGAGGCAGGAGAAUCACUUGACCCCAGGAGGCAGAGGUGAGCUGAGAUCACGCCACUGCACUCCAGCCUAGGCAUCAGAGCAAGACUCCGUCUCAAAAAAGAAAGAUUCAGCCCAGUGUGAAGGUGUGAACCUCUUCUAGGACAUGAAAAGAUUCAGCCCAGGUGUGAACCUCUUCUAGGAGAUGCUCCUUUCCUAACUGCUUGAACCCCGGAUAGGAGUCCUAUUCUUUUUACUCCUAUAGUACUUUCUUUAUAUCUCCAUAAUUUUAUUUACUAUUACUACAUGAUACAUUAUUUUAUAAAAGUCUUUGUAACCUCCUUAAGGAUUCACUGCUUAAUCUCCAGUGCUUAGCACAAAUCAUUAAAUGCGAACCAGAAACUGUUCCAAAUGUGUUACAUCUAUAACCUCAUUGGAUUCUCACUACCAACCCCAUGCAAUAGAUACUAAUGUGAUCUCUGUCUUACAGAGGAAGAAACAGGCACAGGGAGGUUCAGUAAUUUGCCCAAGGUCAUACACACACUGGCCUUCAGGUAUUUAUGCCCUGGGAGUCUGGUUCCACAGCUGGCAUGUUUGCCAUUAUAUUAUAUUGCCUCCUUAUAGUGUCGGCACUCAUUAAGCACAUUGACAGCUAUGCUUGGUGAGUGACUACUAUGUACCCAGCUCUGUGCUACAUGCUUUACCUGGAUUAUUUCAACUGCACAACAACCCUGUGAGGUAACUACCAUCAUUGCUCCUAUUUUACAUAACAGAAAACUACAGAAAUCUGGGGCUGGGCGUAGUGGCUCAUGCCUGAAAUCCCAGCACUUUGGGAGACCCUGUCUCUAAAAAAAAUUUUUUUUUGGCCGGACGUGGUGGCUCACACCUGUAAUCUCAGCACUUUGGGAGGCCAAGGCGGGCAGAUCACAAGGUCAGGAGUUUGAGACCAGCCUGGCCAACAUGGCAAAACCCUGUGUCUACUAAAAAUACAAAAAAUAGCUGGGUGUGGUGGCUCACGCCUGUAAUCCCAGCUACUCAGGAGGCUGAGGCAGGAGAAUCCCUUGAACCUGGGAGAUGGAGGUUACAGAGAGCCGAGAUCGUGCCGCUGCACUCCAGCCUGGGCGACAAGAGCAAGACUCCGUCUCGAAAAAAUAAAAAUAAAAAUAUUUUUUUAAAAAUUAGCUGGGUGUGGUAGCACAUGCCUGUAGUCCCAGCUACUUGGGAGGCUGAGGUAGGAGGAUCACUUGAGCCCAGGAGGUCAAGGCUGCAGUGGGCUGUGAUGGCGCCACUGCACUCUAGCCUUGGUGACAGCAAGACCCUGUCUCA